GGAAGGUCCGGGCGUUAUCCGGAUUUAUUGGGUUUAAAGGGAGCGUAGGCCGGAGAUUAGGCGUGUUGUGAAAUGUAGAUGCUCAACAUCUGAACUGCAGCGCGAACUGGUCUCCUUGAGUACGCACAAAGUGGGCGGAAUUCGUGGUGUAGCGGUGAAAUGCUUAGAUAUCACGAAGAACUCCGAUUGCGAAGGCAGCCUGCUGGACUGUAACUGACGCUGAUGCUCGAAAGUGUGGGUAUCAAACAGGAUUAGAUACCCUGGUAGUCCACACAGUAAACGAUGGAUGCCCGCUGUUGGUCUGAAUAGGUCAGCGGCCAAGCGAAAGCAUUAAGCAUCCCACCUGGGGAGU
rnacentral:rRNA from 1 species